ACAGCUUGGACAAAAGUCUCUAGCCAGUGCAUUCCUAGCUUCCCCUGCACUAGGGUUGGCUGAGCCGGGGGGAAGACAUGUUAGACUAGUGCUCUCCUCCUGCUUAAGAGGGCUCUGCCAUUGCAUUCAGGUGCAGAUUCUUACUUUACCUGUGUGGGCUCUGCAAAUGUAGGAAAAUCCCAGGAUGUAUCUGCAGAUCUAGGCCCUAGAAGCCUGUCUU
rnacentral:lncRNA from 1 species